rnacentral:rRNA from 1 species
UACAGAGGCCUCGAGCGUUAGGCGGAAUCACUGGGCUUAAAGCGUGUGUAGGCGGACCCCUAAGUACCUUGUGAAAUCCCACGGCUCACCCGUGGAACGGCUGGGUAUACUGGGGGUCUUGAGCCACCUAGGGGCGAGUGGAACAAAUGGUGGAGCGGUGAAAUGCGUAGAUAUCAUUUGGAACGCCAAUGGUGAAAACAACUCGCUGGGGGUGUGCUGACGCUGAGACACGAAAGCCCAGGGGAGCGAACGGG